UUCCAGCUCCGGUAGCGUAUACUAAUGUUGUUGCAGUUGAAAAGCUCGUAGUUGAACUUCUGGUGGGUGGGCCCGGGCCUCUGCGUUUCGGCGUAUUGUUUGCUUGUGGCCUGCUAGCCAUCCUCGGGCCUUUCGGGGUCCGUCUUUUACUGUAAAAAAAUUAGAGUGUUUCACGCAGAAGGUAAUUCUGAAUCUGAUAGUAUGGGAUAAUGAGAUAGGGCUUUUGCGCUAUUUUGUUGGUUUGCACGCAAGAGUAAUGAUGAAUAGGGACAGUUGGGGGUAUUCGUAUUUAAUUGUCAGAGGUGAAAUUCUUGGAUUUAUGAAAGACGAACGACUGCGAAAGCAUUUAUCAUGGAUGUUUUCAUUA
rnacentral:rRNA from 1 species